rnacentral:precursor_RNA from 12 species
UAAUUUUCAGAACACAGCCCAGCUUUGCACAUCCUAACUCAGAGCACUUAUAGGAUUUAUAAGAACCAUACGUGCUCUCUGUUAGGAUGCGCCAAGCUAAGGAUCAAUCUCCAAGAGACA